UUCNCCAAGACUAUGCAGUCUAUUUGGCCA
rnacentral:piRNA from 1 species